AUUGAACGCUGGCGGCAGGCCUAACACAUGCAAGUCGGACGGUAGCACAGGGGAGCUUGCUCCUCGGGUGACGAGUGGCGGACGGGUGAGUAAUGUCUGGGGAUCUGCCCGAUAGAGGGGGAUAACCACUGGAAACGGUGGCUAAUACCGCAUAACGUCGCAAGACCAAAGAGGGGGACCUUCAGGCCUCUCACUAUCGGAUGAACCCAGAUGGGAUUAGCUAGUAGGCGGGGUAACGGCCCACCUAGGCGACGAUCCCUAGCUGGUCUGGGAGGAUGACCAGCCACACUGGAACUGAGACACGGUCCAGACUCCUACGGGAGGCAGCAGUGGGGAAUAUUGCACAAUGGGCGCAAGUCUGAUGCAGCCAUGCCGCGUGUAUGAAGAAGGCCUUCGGGUUGUAAAGUACUUUCAGCGGGGAGGAAGGCGAUGUGGUUAAUAACCGCAUUGAUUGACGUUACCCGCAGAAGAAGCACCGGCUAACUCCGUGCCAGCCGCCGCGGUAA
rnacentral:rRNA from 1 species